UACGGAGGUGGCAAGCGUUGUUCGGAAUUACUGGGCGUAAAGCGCGCGUAGGCGGCUUUGUAAGUUAGAGGUGAAAGCCCGGGGCUCAACCCCGGAAUUGCCUUUAAGACUGCAUCGCUUGAAUCCGGGAGAGGUGAGUGGAAUUCGAGUGUAGAGGUGAAAUUCGUAGAUAUUCGGAAGAACACCAGUGGCGAAAGGCGGCUCACUGGACCGGCAUUGACGCUGAGGUGCGAAAGCGUGGGGA
rnacentral:rRNA from 1 species